AUUGAACGCUGGCGGCAUGCCUUACACAUGCAAGUCGAACGGUAACAGGUCUUCGGAUGCUGACGAGUGGCGAACGGGUGAGUAAUACAUCGGAACGUGCCCGAUCGUGGGGGAUAACGAGGCGAAAGCUUUGCUAAUACCGCAUACGAUCUACGGAUGAAAGCGGGGGAUCUUCGGACCUCGCGCGGACGGAGCGGCCGAUGGCAGAUUAGGUAGUUGGUGGGAUAAAAGCUUACCAAGCCGACGAUCUGUAGCUGGUCUGAGAGGAUGAUCAGCCACACGGGGACUGAGACACGGCCAAGACUCCUACGGGGGGCAGAAGUGGGGAUUUUUGAAAAAAGGGCGAAAGCCUGACCCAGCCAUGCCGCGUGAGGGAUGAAGGCUUUUGGGUUGUAAACUUUUUUUGUACGGAAAGAAAAGCUUUUUUAAAAAAAGGGGGGGUCAUGACGGUACCGAAAAAAAAAGCCCCGGCUAACUACGUG
rnacentral:rRNA from 1 species